AGCCUAGUGGUUAAGGCUAUGGAUCGCCAAUCCGGAAACAGCGGGUUCGAUUCCCGU
rnacentral:tRNA from 1 species